rnacentral:rRNA from 1 species
AUGCAAUCUGCUAUAGAAAACAUUCGUGAAAGUGUGGCAUAUUGGACCGCCUUGCCAAAAAGGAUAGAGAAGUUUGAGGAAAUGGCCAAGUAUAAGAAAGUGAAAAUAAAAAGGAAGUUGAGACUUGAUUGCAAGACUAGGUGGAACUCUACUUUUGUAAUGCUUGAUCUUGCUUUGCCUUAUAGACCUGUCUUUGAACGUGCAAAAGAAAAAGAAAAGCAAUAUGAGUGGCUGCCUAGUUCAGAAGAAUGGGCUUUCGCUGUAGAUGUUGUAGAGAUGCUUAGGUUGUUCUAUGAAAUAACCGAGCUAUUUUCUGGAACUGAUUAUGUGACCGCCAAUGUGUACUUUCCUAAGAUAUGUGAAAUUAAAAUGAAAAUGAGGCAGUGGGAAGCAUCUAGCAACAACACUAUCAAAGAAAUGACAAAAAGCAUGACUGAAAAAUUUGAUAAGUAUUGGAGCGACAUCCAAGGUCUAAUGGCUAUAGCUAUAAUUCUUGAUCCUCAAUACAAGAAGCAAAUGUUGGUAGCUUGCUUUGCCAUGCUCCAUGGCACUGAGCCAUCUUCUUAUGAAUGCAUUGAAAAAGUUGAUGACAUAGUUGCUAGUCUGGGCUUAUUAUUGGAAGAAUAUGAAGUGGAAAAUGAGGCAUAUACACCGGAUGAAGAAUCUAUGAUUUCUACAAUGAAAGCUCCUGCAAUCAUGAGUGUCUUCCAAAACAUUGUAGCUCAACAAAUGCCUGCAACAACUAGACUUCAAGGUGAAAUAGAUCAAUACUUGAAUGAUGGAUUAGUGCCUUACGUUGAGAAGUUCAACGUGUUGGAUUGGUGGAAAGUGGCUGGAACUAGGUAUCCUGUUACAACGGUUGCUUCAGAAUCAGCCUUUUCUACAAGUGGCAGAAAGCUCAAUGACCAUAGAAGCCGAUUGACACCACAUAUUGUUGAGGUUUUAAUGUGCUCACAAGAUUGGCUUAGAAACAAGUUCAAAGAUGCUAACACAGGAGAAGCUAGCUUUUGGACUUGCCUUCAA